GGCCCUUCGGGGUACUCGAGCGGCGAACGGGUGAGUAACACGUGAGCAACCUGCCCCAAGCUUUGGGAUAACCCUCGGAAACGGGGGCUAAUACCGAAUAGGACUUCUGGCCGCAUGGCUGGUGGUGGAAAGUUUUUCGGCUUGGGAUGGGCUCGCGGCCUAUCAGCUUGUUGGUGGGGUGAUGGCCUACCAAGGCGACGACGGGUAGCCGGCCUGAGAGGGCGACCGGCCACACUGGGACUGAGACACGGCCCAGACUCCUACGGGAGGCAGCAGUGGGGAAUAUUGCACAAUGGGCGGAAGCCUGAUGCAGCGACGCCGCGUGAGGGAUGACGGCCUUCGGGUUGUAAACCUCUUUCAGCAGGGACGAAGCGAGAGUGACGGUACCUGCAGAAGAAGCACCGGCCAACUACGUGCCAGCAGCCGCGGUAAGACGUAGGGUGCGAGCGUUGUCCGGAUUUAUUGGGCGUAAAGAGCUCGUAGGCGGCUUGUCGCGUCGACCGUGAAAACUUGGGGCUCAACCCCAAGCCUGCGGUCGAUACGGGCAGGCUAGAGUUCGGUAGGGGAGACUGGAAUUCCUGGUGUAGCGGUGAAAUGCGCAGAUAUCAGGAGGAACACCGGUGGCGAAGGCGGGUCUCUGGGCCGAUACUGACGCUGAGGAGCGAAAGCGUG
rnacentral:rRNA from 1 species